rnacentral:tRNA from 1 species
GGCCGGGUGCUGAAAUGGUAGACAGGCUAGUCUCAAAAACUAGUGAUAUGAGAAUAUCGUGUGGGUUCGACUCCCUCCCCGGCCA